rnacentral:rRNA from 1 species
UGGGGAAUAUUGCACAUUGGGCGCAAGCCUGAUGCAGCCAUGCCGCGUGUAUGAAGAAGGCCUUCGGGUUGUAAAGUACUUUCAGCGGGGAGGAAGGGAGUAAAGUUAAUACCUUUGCUCAUUGACGUUACCCGCAGAAGAAGCACCGGCUAACUCCGUGCCAGCAGCCGCGGUAAUACGGAGGGUGCAAGCGUUAAUCGGAAUUACUGGGCGUAAAGCGCACGCAGGCGGUUUGUUAAGUCAGAUGUGAAAUCCCCGGGCUCAACCUGGGAACUGCAUCUGAUACUGGCAAGCUUGAGUCUCGUAGAGGGGGGUUGAAUUCCAGGUGUAGCGGUGAAAUGCGUAAAGAACUGGAGGAAUACCGGUGGCGAAGGCGGCCCCCUGGACGAAGACUGACGCUCAGGUGCGAAAGCGUGGGGAGCAAACAGG